rnacentral:rRNA from 1 species
UACGUAGGGGGCAAGCGUUGUCCGGAUUUAUUGGGCGUAAAGGGUUCGCAGGUGGCCUUUUAAGCCAAAUGUGAAAGAUCAAGGCUUAACCUUGGUAAGCAUUUGAAACUGAAAGGCUUGAGUUAAGGAGAGGAAAGUGGAAUUCCUAGUGUAGCGGUGAAAUGCGUAGAUAUUAAGAGGAAUACCAGUGGCGAAAGCGACUUUCUGAACUUAUACUGACACUGAGGAACGAAAGCAUGGGGAGCAAAUAGA